CAUGCAAGUCGAGGGGCAGCAUUUCAGUUUGCUUGCAAACUGGAGAUGGCGACCGGCGCACGGGUGAGUAACACGUAUCCAACCUGCCGAUAACUCGGGGAUAGCCUUUCGAAAGAAAGAUUAAUACCCGAUGGNAUAAUCAGACCGCAUGGUCUUAUUAUUAAAGAAUUUCGGUUAUCGAUGGGGAUGCGUUCCAUUAGGCAGUUGGUGAGGUAACGGCUCACCAAACCUUCGAUGGAUAGGGGUUCUGAGAGGAAGGUCCCCCACAUUGGAACUGAGACACGGUCCAAACUCCUACGGGAGGCAGCAGUGAGGAAUAUUGGUCAAUGGGCGCAGGCCUGAACCAGCCAAGUAGCGUGAAGGAUGACUGCCCUAUGGGUUGUAAACUUCUUUUAUAUGGGAAUAAAGUUUUCCACGUGUGGAAUUUUGUAUGUACCAUAUGAAUAAGGAUCGGCUAACUCCGUGCCAGCAGCCGCGGUAAUACGGAGGAUCCGAGCGUUAUCCGGAUUUAUUGGGUUUAAAGGGAGCGUAGGUGGACAGUUAAGUCAGUUGUGAAAGUUUGCGGCUCAACCGUAAAAUUGCAGUUGAUACUGGCUGUCUUGAGUACAGUAGAGGUGGGCGGAAUUCGUGGUGUAGCGGUGAAAUGCUUAGAUAUCACGAAGAACUCCGAUUGCGAAGGCAGCUCACUGGACUGCAACUGACACUGAUGCUCGAAAGUGUGGGUAUCAAACAGGAUUAGAUACCCUGGUAGUCCACACAGUAAACGAUGAAUACUCGCUGUUUGCGAUAUACAGUAAGCGGCCAAGCGAAAAGCAUUAAGUAUUCCACCUGGGGGAGUACGCCGGCAACGGUGAAACUCAAAGGAAUUGACGGGGGCCCGCACAAGCGGAGGAACAUGUGGUUUAAUUCGAUGAUACGCGAGGAACCUUACCCGGGCUUAAAUUGCAUUUGAAUAAUNUGGAAACAGGUUAGCCGCAAGGCAAAUGUGAAGGUGCUGCAUGGUUGUCGUCAGCUCGUGCCGUGAGGUGUCGGCUUAAGUGCCAUAACGAGCGCAACCNUUAUCUUUAGUUACUAACAGGUCAUGCUGAGGACUCUAGAGAGACUNCCGUCGUAAGAUGUGAGGAAGGUGGGGAUGACGUCAAAUCAGCACGGCCCUUACGUCCGGGGCUACACACGUGUUACAAUGGGGGGUACAGAAGGCAGCUACCUGGUGACAGGAUGNUAAUCCCAAAAGCCUCUCUCAGUUCGGAUCGAAGUCUGCAACCCGACUUCGUGAAGCUGGAUUCGCUAGUAAUCGNGCAUCAGCCAUGGCGCGGUGAAUACGUUCCCGGGCCUUGUACACACCGCCCGUCAAGCCAUGAAAGCCGGGGGUACCUGAAGUACGUAACCGCAAGGAGCUCCUAGG
rnacentral:rRNA from 1 species